rnacentral:rRNA from 1 species
UACGUAGGGCGCAAGCGUUGUCCGGAAUUAUUGGGCGUAAAGAGCUCGUAGGCGGUCCGUCACGUCUGCCGUGAAAACCCGAGGCUUAACCUCGGGCCUGCGGUGGAUACGGGCGAGCUAGAGGUAGGUAGGGGAGAACGGAAUUCCCGGUGUAGCGGUGAAAUGCGCAGAUAUCGGGAGGAACACCGGUGGCGAAGGCGGUUCUCUGGGCCUUACCUGACGCUGAGGAGCGAAAGCGUGGGGAGCAAACAGG